CCAGCAGAGAAAAAAUUAGUCAUCUUUGACAAAAUUUUUACUGCAUAUCAUGAAGCUAGAAGCUCCAUUCGCAGUGACUUGGUGAGUGCAGGUAAUGCCGAUAGUGUAAAAGAUGACUUGAGUGGCCUUGAUAAAGCAGUUAGUGCUGUAUUAGGACAACGGACAAUUGAGCGUAACCAGUUGUUGGUUACCAUUGCAAAGAGUAAACUUACUAGGUGCCGUGAUGACAAAAAUGAGAAAGUUACCAAGCCUGAGGAGCUUGUUCGCUUGUAUGAUCUUUUGUUGCAGAACACAUCUGAUCUUUCUGACUUAGUU
rnacentral:misc_RNA from 1 species